rnacentral:rRNA from 1 species
AUUGAACGCUGGCGGCAGGCUUAACACAUGCAAGUCGAGCGGGGUGAUGGUGCUUGCACUAUCACUUAGCGGCGGACGGGUGAGUAAUGCUUAGGAAUCUGCCUAUUAGUGGGGGACAACAUCUCGAAAGGGCUGCUAAUACCGCAUACGUCCUACGGGAGAAAGCAGGGGAUCACUUGUGACCUUGCGCUAAUAGAUGAGCCUAAGUCGGAUUAGCUAGUUGGUGGGGUAAAGGCCUACCAAGGCGACGAUCUGUAGCGGGUCUGAGAGGAUGAUCCGCCACACUGGGACUGGGAGACGGCCCAGACUCCUACGGGAGGAAGCAGUGGGGAAUAUUGGACAAUGGGGGGAACCCUGAUCCAGCCAUGCCCCGUGUGUGAAGAAGGCCUUAUGGUUGUAAAGCACUUUAAGCGAGGAGGAGGCUCUUUUGGUUAAUACCCAAGAUGAGUGGACGUUACUCGCAGAAUAAGCACCGGCUAACUCUGUGCCAGCCGCCGCGGUAA